rnacentral:misc_RNA from 1 species
ACACAAGGUGUAUCGUCGGCAGCGUCAGAUGUGUAUAAGAGACAGGUGAGUCAUCGAAUCUUUGAACGCAUAUGGCACCUGCCAGCCCUGCUGGAAGGUAUGCCUGUUUGAGAAUCAUAUCCACCUGAUGUUUCCGUUCACACGGAACAUCGACAUGGGCCCUCACCACUGAUCGCCCCGAAUUGCUCGCGGUUGUCCUGCUAGUCCAUUUGGCAAACUUGACAAUCACAACCCCCAUUUCAUGAUCUCAAAUCAGGCAAGGCUACCCGCUGAACUUAAGCAUAUCAAUAAGCGGAGGAC